AGGAAAAUGAUGAGUCAAAAGUUCUGAAUUUAUGAUGCAAAUUUCAUAUAUAGGUACUUCAAAGUUCUCUGAUUGCU
rnacentral:snoRNA from 1 species